UACGAAGGGUGCAAGCGUUAAUCGGAAUUACUGGGCGUAAAGCGCGCGUAGGUGGUUCAGUAAGUUGGAAGUGAAAUCCCCGGGCUCAACCUGGGAACUGCUUUCAAAACUGCUGAGCUAUAGUACGGUAGAGGGUGGUGGAAUUUCCUGUGUAGCGGUGAAAUGCGUAGAUAUAGGAAGGAACACCAGUGGCGAAGGCGACCACCUGGACUGAUACUGACACUGAGGUGCGAAAGCGUGGGGAGCAAACAGG
rnacentral:rRNA from 1 species